rnacentral:rRNA from 1 species
GAUGAACGCUGGCGGCGUGCCUAAUACAUGCAAGUCGAGCGAAUGGAUUAAGAGCUUGCUCUUAUGAAGUUAGCGGCGGACGGGUGAGUAGCACGUGGGUAACCUGCCCAUAAGACUGGGAUAACUCCGGGAAACCGGGGCUAAUACCGGAUAACAUUUUGAACCGCAUGGUUCGAAAUUGAAAGGCGGCUUCGGCUGUCACUUAUGGAUGGACCCGCGUCGCAUUAGCUAGUUGGUGAGGUAACGGCUCACCAAGGCAACGAUGCGUAGCCGAACUGAGAGGGUGAUCGGCCACACUGGGACUGAGACACGGCCCGGACUCCUACGGGAGGCAGCAGUAGGGAAUCUUCCGCAAUGGACGAAAGUCUGACGGAGCAACGCCGCGUGAGUGAUGAAGGCUUUCGGGUCGUAAAACUCUGUUGUUAGGGAAGAACAAGUGCUAGUUGAAUAAGCUGGCACCUUGACGGUACCUAACCAGAAAGCCACGGCUAACUACGUGCCAGCCGCCGCCGUAA